GAUGAACGCUGGCGGCGUGCCUAAUACAUGCAAGUCGAGCGAACGGACGAGAAGCUUGCUUCUCUGAUGUUAGCGGCGGACGGGUGAGUAACACGUGGAUAACCUACCUAUAAGACUGGGAUAACUUCGGGAAACCGGAGCUAAUACCGGAUAAUAUUUUGAACCGCAUGGUUCAAAAGUGAAAGACGGUCUUGCUGUCACUUAUAGAUGGAUCCGCGCUGCAUUAGCUAGUUGGUAAGGUAACGGCUUACCAAGGCAACGAUGCAUAGCCGACCUGAGAGGAGGAUCGGCCACACUGGAACUGAGACACGGUCCAGACUCCUACGGGAGGCAGCAGUAGGGAAUAUUCCGCAAUGGGCGAAAGCCUGACGGAGCAACGCCGCGUGAGUGAUGAAGGUCUUCGGAUCGUAAAACUCUGUUACUAGGGAAGAACAUAUGUGUAAGUAAAUGUGCCCAUCUUGACGGUACCUAAUCAGAAAGCCACGGCUAACUACGUG
rnacentral:rRNA from 1 species